rnacentral:rRNA from 1 species
CAGCCGCCGCGGUAAUACGUAGGUGGCAAGCGUUGUCCGGAAUUAUUGGGCGUAAAGGGCUCGCAGGCGGUUUCUUAAGUCUGAUGUGAAAGCCCCCGGCUCAACCGGGGAGGGUCAUUGGAAACUGGGAAACUUGAGUGCAGAAGAGGAGGGUGGAAUUCCACGUGUAGCGGUGAAAUGCGUAGAGAUGUGGAGGAACACCAGUGGCGAAGGCGACUCUCUGGUCUGUAACUGACGCUGAGGAGCGAAAGCGUGGGGAGCGAACAGGAUUAGAUACCCCCGUAGUCCCUGUCUCUUAUAC